rnacentral:rRNA from 1 species
UACGGAGGGGCUAGCGUUGUUCGGAAUUACUGGGCGUAAAGCGCACGUAGGCGGAUCAGAAAGUCAGAGGUGAAAUCCCAGGGCUCAACCUUGGAACUGCCUUUGAAACUCCUGAUCUUGAGGUCGAGAGAGGUGAGUGGAAUUCCGAGUGUAGAGGUGAAAUUCGUAGAUAUUCGGAGGAACACCAGUGGCGAAGGCGGCGCACUGGCUCGAUACUGACGCUGAGGUGCGAAAGCGUGGGGAGCAAACAGG